AAUAAUACAUUUUCUAUUUUAAUACUAUAAGUGCAGUGGACGCGAGCGGUAAUAAACACGUUGAGCGCUGAAUAAAUGUAAAGGAAUGUCGAUAAACUAGAUGUUUCUUCUGUUCUUUCAUAGAUCGAAUAUUUCGCCAGAUAUUAAAAGACUUUGUUCUGCAGUAUUUGUGGAAUAUGUAUUUCGUAUCAUAAAGAAACUACACAAAAGAUUAACUAAUUGGAUGUCUUUUCAUAUGCAACAAUGCCCGAUCGCAGCUUCACUUACACUUAGCUUGGAAAUGGACAACGGCCACUAAGGAUUCACAUAUACACAUCUA